rnacentral:rRNA from 1 species
GACGUAGGGCGCGAGCGUUGUCCGGAUUUAUUGGGCGUAAAGAGCUCGUAGGCGGCUUGUCGCGUCGACCGUGAAAACUUGGGGCUCAACCCCAAGCCUGCGGUCGAUACGGGCAGGCUCGAGUUCGGUAGGGGAGACUGGAAUUCCUGGUGUAGCGGUGAAAUGCGCAGAUAUCAGGAGGAACACCGAUGGCGAAGGCAGGUCUCUGGGCCGAUACUGACGCUGAGGAGCGAGAGCGUGGGGAGCGAACAGG